AGGUUAACCGAAUAGGGGAGCCGAAGGGAAACCGAGUCUUAACUGGGCGUUAAGUUGCAGGGUAUAGACCCGAAACCCGGUGAUCUAGCCAUGGGCAGGUUGAAGGUUGGGUAACACUAACUGGAGGACCGAACCGACUAAUGUUGAAAAAUUAGCGGAUGACUUGUGGCUGGGGGUGAAAGGCCAAUCAAACCGGGAGAUAGCUGGUUCUCCCCGAAAGCUAUUUAGGUAGCGCCUCGUGAAUUCAUCUCCGGGGGUAGAGCACUGUUUCGGCAAGGGGGUCAUCCCGACUUACCAACCCGAUGCAAACUGCGAAUACCGGAGAAUGUUAUCACGGGAGACACACGGCGGGUGCUAACGUCCGUCGUGAAGAGGGAAACAACCCAGACCGCCAGCUAAGGUCCCAAAGUCUAUAUUAAGUGGGAAACGAAGUGGGAAGGCUUAGACAGCUAGGAUGUUGGCUUAGAAGCAGCCAUCAUUUAAAGAAAGCGUAAUAGCUCACUAGUCGAGUCGGCCUGCGCGGAAGAUGUAACGGGGCUCAAAUAUAGCACCGAAGCUGCGGCAUCAGACGAAAGUCUGUUGGGUAGGGGAGCGUUCUGUAAGCGGAUGAAGGUGAAUCGAGAGGUUUGCUGGACGUAUCAGAAGUGCGAAUGCUGACAUAAGUAACGAUAAAACGGGUGAAAAACCCGUUCGCCGGAAGACCAAGGGUUCCUGUCCAACGUUAAUCGGGGCAGGGUGAGUCGGCCCCUAAGGCGAGGCUGAAAAGCGUAGUCGAUGGGAAACGGGUUAAUAUUCCCGUACUUGGAUAAACUGCGAUGUGGGGACGGAGCAGGUUAGGUUAUCGCACUGUUGGAUAUGUGCGUUUAAGUUUGUAGGUGGGAAGUUUAGGCAAAUCCGGACUUCUAUUCAACACUGAGAGAUGAUGACGAGGCUCUACGGAGCUGAAGUAACCGAUACCACACUUCCAGGAAAAGCCACUAAGCUUCAGGUUUAUCUAAACCGUACUGAAAACCGACACAGGUGGUCAGGUAGAGAAUACUCAGGCGCUUGAGAGAACUCGGGUGAAGGAACUAGGCAAAAUAGCACCGUAACUUCGGGAGAAGGUGCGCCGGCGUAGAUUGUAGUCCCUUGCGGGCGAAGGUUGAACCGGUCGAAGAUACCAGCUGGCUGCAACUGUUUAUUAAAAACACAGCACUCUGCAAACACGAAAGUGGACGUAUAGGGUGUGAUGCCUGCCCGGUGCUGGAAGGUUAAUUGAUGGUGUAAUCGAAAGAGAAGCUCCUGAUCGAAGCCCCAGUAAACGGCGGCCGUAACUAUAACGGUCCUAAGGUAGCGAAAUUCCUUGUCGGGUAAGUUCCGACCUGCACGAAUGGCAUAAUGAUGGCCAGGCUGUCUCCACCCGAGACUCAGUGAAAUUGAAAUCGCCGUGAAGAUGCGGUGUACCCGCGGCUAGACGGAAAGACCCCGUGAACCUUUACUAUAGCUUGACACUGAACAUUGAAUUUUGAUGUGUAGGAUAGGUGGGAGCCUUUGAAGCAGUCACGCCAGUGAUUGUGGAGGCGUCCUUGAAAUACCACCCUUUAACGUUUGAUGUUCUAACGAAGAUUGCGAAACGUGGUCUCGGACAGUGUCUGGUGGGUAGUUUGACUGGGGCGGUCUCCUCCCAAAGAGUAACGGAGGAGCACGAAGGUUUGCUAAUGACGGUCGGACAUCGUCAGGUUAGUGCAAUGGUAUAAGCAAGCUUAACUGCGAGACAGACAAGUCGAGCAGGUACGAAAGUAGGUCAUAGUGAUCCGGUGGUUCUGAAUGGAAGGGCCAUCGCUCAACGGAUAAAAGGUACUCCGGGGAUAACAGGCUGAUACCGCCCAAGAGUUCAUAUCGACGGCGGUGUUUGGCACCUCGAUGUCGGCUCAUCACAUCCUGGGGCUGAAGUAGGUCCCAAGGGUAUGGCUGUUCGCCAUUUAAAGUGGUACGCGAGCUGGGUUUAGAACGUCGUGAGACAGUUCGGUCCCUAUCUGCCGUGGGCGUUGGAGAAUUGGUUGGGGCUGCUCCUAGUACGAGAGGACCGGAGUGGACGCACCACUGGUGUUCCGGUUGUGUCGCCAGACGCAUUGCCGGGUAGCUAAGUGCGGAAGAGAUAAGUGCUGAAAGCAUCUAAGCACGAAACUUGCCAAGAGAUGAGUUCUCCCUGUCUUUAAGACAGUAAGGGUUGU
rnacentral:rRNA from 1 species